rnacentral:lncRNA from 1 species
AAAAUGUACAGUUUGAAUUGUAAAAUAAUGAGGAAGUUUGCAUGUUUUGUCGACACGCUGUUAGCAUCUGCGGGUGGGAAUGAAAGUGGAUAAGCAUUUGGAAAAUCACAUAGGAGUGACAAGUGUAACUAAUGAAAUGCAUAACUAGGCGGGAAAGAAGUUGCCAUAUUUAUUCAUAUAAAAUGGCACUUAUGUACAAGGACGUGUGCCAUGCCAAACAAUAGAUGAGCAGAAGUGGGAAAUUACACCAAACAAAAGAUGACAGCAAACAUCGCCCGGUGUGGACUACAAAAUCAGUAGUGCGUGAAAGAAAAUCUAGCCUGCAGUUUGCCGAACGAUCCAUCAGAGUUUGCAUCUGCAGCAAGAACAGCCUUUAUGGCAGCGUCGGUCCAAGCAGAAGCAGCGAACUUGUGUGGUGCAGGUAGGCCACCAACGGCGGUCAGUUCCACAGUGCUUAGGUCGAGGCUAUCAAGAUACGUAAGCUGAAAACGAAAAACAUAGAAGGUGGUGAGCACAUAAAAAUUAUUACUUGGAAAAAUCGAAUGCAGAAAACAAAAAAGGAUUAUGGUAUUGGAGACUAAAUUCCUAAAAAUGGUGAAAACUUGCCAUCAGGUGAAGACGGCACCCUUUGUUGUAUAUCCCUUUAGAAAGCGCGGUAUGGAGGAAACCAGCCUUGCACCAGUUCAUGUUGGCAACAUUGCUUAUGUUGGCCUGCAUUUUGAAAACCGACAAGAGAAUGGAGUCAUGAAAACUUGAAACAAGAAUUGUGCACAUAAAACAAAACAGACAGGAGAAAAGUAGUCAUGGUAGAAAGGUGGAAAAAAGUUGAGCAACACAUAUACUUACAAGUACUGGAAAGCAUCUGCUACUAAGGUGCGUGGAUGUCGUCGGCGCAAAAACAGUUGAAAUGAGGUACAUUAGCAGUAACCUCUUGAACUCUUCACCACUGCUGUCCAUCUCAGCAAGCAUAGUGGCUGCAACGGAGGUGAGCGGCAUUGAAGUCAUACCCGAAAACAUUUCAGGGAAAAGACGGUCCUGGAUUUCACGGUCCACCUUGUAUGGAACAUCCACUCCACCAUUUGGGACACCUAGAGUGCAGUAAACAGCGUCCUCGUCCAGAGGGAUCCUUCCACGGCGAGGGAUGACAAAUUCUUUGGACGCGGGAUUGUAUGUCCUCCCAAGCCAGUCGCAUACGCUGUUAUUCAAGUUGGUGCAAAGUGGGUUCAUGAGCGUGCACAUACCCAUGGUGUCAGCAGUUGCCUUCUAAUCAUCACUGAACUCAUUGUAGAGCUCCGUUAGGCGCUCAUGCGAUCCCCUAUUACGUGGGAUUUUCUGCCAGCAGAAAAGUGGGGCAUUAGCAUCGUAAAAAGAGGAUAAAGUUGCCAUCACUCAAGUUGCUAAAAAAAUUACAGUGCAAACGUGAUGUUUACAAAGGUAUGGAAUGGGUUCGUAAAAGUUGUUGAGCUUGGGGAAACAAUUGACAAUAGUUGAUUCCAUGAAAACAUUAUGGGGAACUUGCCACCUACAAACAGCUAAACUGGUCAAACCCCUAGGUCGUGCGAGGAAAACAUCGGCUGUUCUGACAUAUCUGUCAGUAGACCCAGAAGGAAAAAAGUGUUGCUAAUAAGUUGCCAUCUAACAAUAACUAAAUUGACCAUGUGGUAGAGUUCUAACAAUAACUAGAAUCACAUUGCGUUUAAAAGUUGCCUCCUGAGACCAACAAAACUAACCAUGGAAGAAGCAUAAUGAACAGUUUAUUGCAAAAAAUAGCUUCCAUCCCAUAAUGGGAAAAGUUGCCACCUCCAGCCAAAGUAAGUAAGCAUCACACAUUGUGAGGAAAAAAAGGAAAUACAACACCGCGCUUACGAACAACGAUACAGUUGGCAACAGGAACUUGCCAUCUGACAAAAAUACUGAAAAUUGCCAUGUCACGCACGUGUACGAAGACUACACAUCAGGCAACAAAAAUACCUUCUUUGGAGCACGUUUACCAGCAUCAACAUCGUCCCUUUUAUCAGGCAUGAAAUCGUCGGCAUCAUCAUCAUGCGCGUUGCGGGCCAUUUUCUCUGGAAGUAAACAAUAACAAACGAAACAUAUCAGCAAACAAAAGACGGUAUUGAUAAUGAGAGUAGGAAAACAUGACAAUUUUCUGACAAAAAAACGAAGAAGCACGAAGUUGCCAUCCUCUAUGAAGUAAAGUUGCCAUCCCCUAUGAACUAAAGUUGCCAUGUGAAAAGGUUCGGGAUGAAUACCACCACUGUAAGAAAUGGAGCUAUGUUGCAGAUUUCCAAGUAAAUGGCAGUCUACUCCACUAAGAUCAUGAUGGCAUAGAACUACAUGAGUGCACGAUGGAGGUGACCUUCAGUAAAAAAUGAUACAAAUAGCGAGAAUUAAGCCAUCAAGAUGGCAGUAGUUAUGAGAUCUUACACGCGCCACAGUAGAAAUUGACACAAAAACAACAUGAAUCUGAACGAAUAGUUGGGCGCGCACAAACCUACGUGAGCACAAAAUCGCACAAUGAAAAAUAUAUCGCCAUGUACAACCCCAUGGAGAUGUCUCAUAUGGGACGCGCGGUGAACCUAUAACCUCGACGGCGCACCAAAAUGCAGCCGUGGGCAACCUUGUAACACUCCGGGACAAAGCGGAGUGGCUGCGUCGUGAUGACAAGGGGGGAGAGAUGGAGAGAUGCCCAGAUCUGCGAAAACGAACCUCAGGACGCAGAAGAACAGUCGACGUCGCCGGUGACGACGAUGUUGCAGAUGCAGAAAGCUGCCGACCAACAGCACCUCGCAUAGACGAUCUCGAGGGAUAUCCGUGACCGUCGCCCGUUCAUGCACAACUUGGAUACCCCAUCGUUGAGAAGCCGCUCGACGCCGGAUCGAUUGCGGGAGGACACAAACGCCGGCGGCGGCGGCGGAUUCGAGCUCCUCCGAUGCGUCACCACGGCGGAUGGCGCUAGAUUGCGGGAAUAACCGCGGAGGAGGGUGCUAGAUUGGGGGAGUGUAACGGAUAUGCGAGGCGGAGACGACGGGAUAGAGUAAGUGCGGGUGGUUGCGCGACG